rnacentral:rRNA from 1 species
UACAGAGGCCUCGAGCGUUAGGCGGAAUCACUGGGCUUAAAGCGUGUGUAGGCGGGCCGUUAAGUGUCUUGUGAAAUCCCCCGGCUCAACCGGGGAAUUGCUGGGCAUACUGGCGGUCUUGAGCGAUCUAGGGGCAGAUGGAACAAGUGGUGGAGCGGUGAAAUGCGUAGAUAUCGUCUGGAACGCCGAAGGUGAAAACAGCUCGCUGGGGCUGCGCUGACGCUGAGACACGAAAGCCAGGGGAGCGAACGGG